rnacentral:rRNA from 1 species
AUGGGAAAACCGAUGGCCAUGGUGGAAGAAGAUGCACCGCCCACAUGGUACUAUCAAGUUGAUGAAGCAAUUGACCAAGCAUCAUUUUUUGCGACCUCACCUACAUCACAUGAGCGGAGCUCUAAUGGUAACAUAGGUGAUGGUACUUCACUUGUCCCACUAGUGGACUAUCUUGCAAAUGAUGGCGUGCAUGAUGAUGACCACCUUAUGGAUUCAUUGCAUACAAUGUUUUGUUUUGAUAUGGCACCCGUUUAUGAUGAAUAUGAUGAUGAGCAUGUCGAGUUGCCUAGAUGUGAUGCUAUGCUCCAUAGGAUAUCAUGUGAAAAUUCUUUUGAUCACAUCAUGUUUGACAACCCUUUAGACUUGUCAUAUGAUAUGAGUGAGAUCUCCCUUAUUGCAUCAUUUCAAUCUCAACAUAGUAAAUAUGCAUGCCCCAUUAAAAUAAAUCCCAUUUGCACUUAUGGCAUAGAUGACAAGGUCAUGUUUAUUGGAAUGUGCUUCUUUUGUGAUGAUAUUGCCAUGCUUCCUUUACAUGAUUUGUACAAUUCAUCUACUAUGCCAUGCCAUGAUCACAUUGUUCUGAAUAUGCUUUGUUUAGGAUGUUGUCAAUAUUCUCCAUGUGAUGUUUCCACUAAUGCUCAUGAGGAGACCCCCAUAGUUUCCUCUUACAUAUUAGGAGAUUUUGAUUCAUUCCAUACUUUGCAUGAUUCCCAUAAUUGCGUGCACCAUAUGCAUUCCAUGAAUCACAAUGCUCUCCAUAUUUCUCAUGAUGCAUUACACAAUUUGAGUGUCCAUUAUGCUAUACAUGACAACAAACCUCUCAUGAUGGAUGCCAUGUUUCUAUAUCACACAUCUCAUUUAUUUGAGCAUUGGAUAUUUUGUUCUAACCAACACAUGCAUGUGCGCAUCAUGAUGGAUGAUGUGUACAUAUACCAGGCACACACAAUUUUCCCUUUAACUUUGUUUUGUGUAGGUACUCAUGUAUACUCGUCAAUCACUCCAUCCCAAGAGUUGACGAAACGAGCUCUUGAGAGCAAAGAUGAUUUGGGAUCCCGUGGACUAUCCUUACCACUGUUCCCUUCGCACAACGGCUACACGCAUCUCAUCUACUUGGCUCUCACACGACUAUGGGCUAUAUAUCACUUGUUACUUUAUGCCCAUUGUAUCAUGUUCACUUUGCUUGUUAUCCUUGUGUCCAUGCAUUUACCAUGCAAUUGUGACCCUUCGUUGCACUUACAUGUGAUUCACCAUUAUACUACUUCUAUGUGUAUUUGCAUGCUUGGUGGAGAUCCUAGUACCUAUUGCCAUGAUUUACUUGUGUCCCAUGCAAUUGAUGCGUGUUGUGUUGGGAGAGUCAUCAUGUCCCAUUACUAUUUACAUAUGGCCUAUCACCAAUACAUUGAUGAUAUUUUGCUCAUAUCUUGCUUUCAUGCUUGUGAUUUGUCAUGUGCAUUAUUCAUGACCACUAUUUGCACACAUGACAUGCUUGCUAUGAUUCCUUCAAGUAUGUUUCAUCUUCGCACUACUGACUUGAUCACUAUGAUUGCUUGCUUUGUCGCAUUACCCAUGUUCCAUUCUUACUCGCUUUCUUGGGUUGAUGACAUAUAUGUCCAUGUUGCUCACUUGAUUUUUCUUGAUCAUUGUAUCUUGUAUCCAUUAGUUGCAUCUCUCAUAUCACCUUGUAUUGAGUGCCAACUUGCUAUGCUUAUUUAUCGUGGAGACUUGGAUAACUUACUUGUGAUGCAUGCUUGCUUAUUUGAGCUUAAUGUAUAUGGUUGUGCUAGCAUCUUAUGCCUACAUACCAUGCCCUAUACCCUUGUCCUUUCUUAUGAUAUGAAUGAUGAUGACACUUGUUGGGUAUUUUACCCCAUGGAUGAUAGGUUUUGCAUUUCCACUAACCUCAUUUGUUUUUCUGAGUGUUUGUCAGGUUCUCUCAUUUUGAGGAAUUCACAAGGCGGUACCAUCAUGAGACAUAUUGGUUAUGUGAAGGUGUACAUGAUUUGUGACACCAACAUUUUCGAGAAACUACUAAAGGUGAACUCCUUCCCUUUGAGCCAUCUUCACAUAUGCAUAUUGGAUGGGUCAUACUUUAUUGUUGUCUCCUUCUUCUUAUCUACAUGA